GUGUGUGUGUGUGUGUGUGUGUGUGUGUGUGUUUGUGUGUUGUGUGUGUGGGAUGUCAGGGCAGCGUCCUGCUAAAUGUAGAACUGGUGGAGCGCCAGCUGGUCCAUGAAGGGCCGCACCAGGUUGUCUGUGGCGAAGUA